rnacentral:miRNA from 1 species
CUCACCUCUCUGUGCCUUCCAG